AAAAGUGGGCGGGGCCAAAUAAAGGUUGAAGGCACCUGUUACCUUGAACCUGCUCCUAAGGGCAGAUGGAGGGGUUGUCCUUGUAUAGGUGGAGAAAGUGAGGUUCCCGAAGGCUUAGGUCCCUAUGAAUGUGUCACUCCUAGUGGAAUAUUCCCACCCCUCCCAGGUGGGGAGGGGGUGGGGGAGGAAGGAAGCGCAAGGCCCCUUGGGAGUUGACAGCUUCGCGUUGCUAUGGUGUCCAGGCUGGGAGUGCUUCCUGAAGCCCCGCCCCCGCCCCGCCCCCCGCUAUGCGGCCCUCCCAGACAGAGCUGUGGCUGGGUCUGACUUUGACUUUGGCCCUCCUGGCUGUGAGGUGGGCCUCAGCCCAGGCCCCCAUCUAUGUCAGCAGCUGGGCAGUGCGGGUGACCAAAGGUUACCAGGAAGCUGAGCGCCUGGCCCGUAAAUUUGGCUUCGUCAACCUGGGACAGAUCUUCCCUGACGACCAGUAUUUCCAUCUGCGGCACCGGGGUGUGGCCCAGCAGUCCCUGACUCCACACUGGGGCCAUCGUCUACGACUGAAGAAAGAUCCCAAGGUGCGCUGGUUUGAGCAGCAGACUUUGAGGCGCCGGGUGAAACGCUCCCUGGUGGUGCCCACAGACCCCUGGUUUUCCAAGCAGUGGUACAUGAACAAGGAGAUACAACAAGAUCUCAACAUCCUAAAGGCUUGGAACCAGGGACUGACCGGCCGGGGAGUGGUGAUUUCCAUCUUGGACGAUGGCAUUGAGAAAGACCACCCGGACCUCUGGGCUAAUUAUGACCCUCUGGCCAGCUAUGACUUCAACGACUAUGACCCAGACCCCCAGCCUCGCUACACACCCAACGAUGAGAACCGACAUGGAACGCGCUGUGCUGGGGAGGUGUCUGCCACAGCUAACAACGGUUUCUGUGGUGCCGGUGUGGCCUUCAAUGCUAGAAUUGGAGGCGUGCGCAUGUUGGAUGGAGCCAUCACUGACAUCGUGGAGGCUCAGUCCCUCAGCCUGCAGCCGCAACACAUACACAUCUAUAGCGCCAGCUGGGGCCCGGAGGAUGAUGGUCGCACGGUGGACGGACCUGGCCUCCUCACACAGGAGGCCUUCAGGCGUGGUGUAACCAAGGGCCGCCAAGGGCUGGGUACACUGUUCAUCUGGGCCUCGGGAAACGGUGGCCUCCAUUACGACAACUGCAAUUGUGACGGCUACACCAACAGCAUCCACACACUGUCAGUGGGCAGCACCACGCGGCAGGGUCGAGUGCCCUGGUACAGCGAGGCCUGUGCCUCCACGUUUACCACCACCUUCAGCAGCGGUGUGGUCACCGACCCACAGAUCGUCACCACGGACCUGCACCACCAGUGCACCGACAAGCACACGGGCACCUCGGCAUCUGCCCCGCUGGCUGCUGGCAUGAUCGCCCUGGCCCUGGAGGCCAAUGAGCCACCAUUAUGGCUAUGGGCUGCUGGACGCGGGGUUGCUGGUGGACCUGGCUCGCGUGUGGCUGCCCACUAAGCCUCAGAAGAAAUGUGCCAUUCGGGUGGUGCACACCCCCACGUGAGAGAGCCCCCGCCCACUGGAGGGAGGCCCCGCCCCUUCCACUGGAGGGAGGCCCCGCGGUCCAGACUCCACGCCUACGCGGGCGAUUCUGUCCAGGUCUCCACCUUGCGCUUUGUUGUAGCUCCCCCUUCUCCACUACCUCCCCAUCCUAGUCCAAGGUAGGCAGAAUGCCCCGAAACCUCAGUUUACCCAUCCGAGGAAAGAGUGCCCUCAGGCCCUUAGACACUGCCCGCCCCCCCCCAAACCCGCCUCUGGGCUCUACCUGGCCCGCAGCAGACCCACAGGACCGCCCUCACCCCACCAGCCCCAUCCUGCCUCGGAUGCUGGUGCCGAAGAACGUGACCGCGUGCUCAGAUGGCUCGCGCCGCCGCCUCAUCCGCUCGCUCGAGCACGUGCAGGUCCAGCUUUCGCUCUCCUACAGCCGCCGCGGGGACCUGGAGAUCUUCCUCACCAGCCCCAUGGGCACGCGCUCCACGCUCGUGGCCAUCAGGUGUGAGACAUCUCAAAGGGUCCUGAGAGCCAGCGGUGCCCUCCCUAGCCUUCCCAGAUGGGACCCUAUCUGGGUGGGACUCAGAAGACUUGUGUGAGACGCCACGAGCCCUGUCUCUCCUGUGCCACCCACUGGCCACAGACCGUUGGAUAUCAGCGGCCAAGGCUACAACAACUGGAUCUUCAUGUCCACUCACUACUGGGAUGAGGACCCGCAGGGCCUGUGGACCCUGGGCCUGGAGAAUAAGGGCUACUAUUUUAACACAGGAACUCUGUACUACUACACCCUGCUGCUGUAUGGGACGGCCGAGGACAUGACAGCACGGCCCCAGGCCCCCCAGGUGACCAGCCGCGCGCGCGCAUGUGUGCAGAGGGACACAGAGGGGCUGUGCCAGGAAAGUCACAGUCCCCUCUCCAUCCUGGCAGGACUCUGCCUCAUCUCCAGCCAGCAGUGGUGGUGGCUCUACAGCCACCCACAGCAGCCAGUGACCGAAGGACAGGCCAGCUGUCACCCUCCUGUUACACCUGCUGCAGCAGCCUGAGCAGCGACUACACUGCCUGUCCCCUGUCCCUUGUGUUGGGAGAGCUCCAGAGCCCCUCCAAGGCUUGCCACCUCUGGUGGCCCCCCAGCUACCAGUCUUGGGCCAUGGUGCUGGCUCUGCUGGCCAGGGCCUUUGGGAGGCCCCUCGGCUUGAGGAAGGCCCACCUGCCCCAGGCUAGAUACCCCAGUGCCCAAAACCAUGCAUGCACAGAUCCCUGGAGGCUGGAGAGCCAGAGAUGCCUGGCUGUCAGGACAGAAGGCCGGUACCCCAAGGUCCUGCUCUCAGGCUGGAAGAGAAGCCUGCCCCAGAAGGCCAGGGCAGAGCAGCUGCAUGGGUCAGGUGACAGCCCACCGCUCAGCCUCAGCUGCUCCCAGUGGAAGAGAUGUGUCCUUAC